ensembl:lncRNA
CUCGGCUCCCGAGCCCCCACCCGGGUCCGGGCCGCGCGCCCUCCCGCCAGCCUGCUGGCCCGGCGGGAGCUGCGCUGGGGGUCCCCGGCUCGGCCCGCCCCACGCCGCGCUCACCCCCGAGAGGAUGCGGAUUCCAACUUGGAUCGGGGGAGGGAACGUCCUGGAUGCCGAGCGCCUCCCGGCUGUUUGCUCUUCUUUAUUUGUUUUCUCCGAGAAAGGAGGAAAACGGAGAAAAGGGAAAAGGAAAGAAGCGGCACUGGCCGCGUCUGCCGGCGGACGCCGGCUGCGCAGGAGCGAGGCGAGAGUCGAGAAGAUCUUUGGUUCCGAGUGGUUGUCUGUCCUUAUGGAGAAAGUAAAAAAGUUAUCCAUAUGAUUUGUUCAAUUUUCACGCCUUCUAGAGUUUGAAAUCUGCCUGUGAAAAUACAGCCUUUGUUUUGAGAACAUUGUAAAGAAGACAUCGUCAAAGCUGAAAAUUCUUCUUGCUUAAGCUUGACACCCUGCAUUUUAAAAUGUAGAGCUCAGUUGCCACCAACAUGUGAACAUUUCCAACCUCUACUUUCUUUUUUAAGAUGUUCAAAAUCCCAAAUAAAAAAUUAGGUGAUAUACAAAUGGCCAGUAAGCGCAUGAAAAGAUAUUUAGCAUCACUAGUAAUUAGGGAAAUGCAAAUCAAAACCAUAAUAAGGUACCGCUUUAUGUCCACUUGGAUGGCUAUUAUGGACAAAACAGGAAAAAACAAUUGUGGAUGAAGAUGUGGAGAAAUGCAAACUUGUGUGCUGCUGGUCGGAAAGUAAAAUGGUAUAGCCACUGUGGAAAGCAUUCUGGCAGUACCUCCAAAAGUUAAACAAAAUUGCCAUGUGAUCCAGCAAUUCCAUUGCUGAAUAUGUGCCCAAAAAAUGGAAAGUUGAGACUCAAAUGGAUAUAUCUGCCCCCAUGUUCAUAGCAACUUUAUUCACAACAGCCACAAGGUGGAAACAACCCAUGUAUCUAUCAAAAGCCAGAUGUGGUGGUGCACAUCUGUAAUCCCAGCACUCAAGAGGCUGAGGCAGGAUUGCUGUGAGUUCAAGGACUACCUGGGCUACUUGGUGAGUUCAAGGCCAGCCUGAACUAGACUACAUAGCAAGACCCUGUCUCAAAACAACAAAUAUCUAUCAAGGGAUAAAUUGAUAAACAGUAUAUUUACUAGUCCACACAGUGGAAUAGUAUUCAGCCUUAAAAAGGAAUGAAGCCCUGACACGUGACAGUGUAGAUGAUCCUUGAAAACAAGCUAAGUGAAAUAAGCCAGGCACAAAAAUACAAAUAAUGUAUAAUUCCAUUUAUAUGAAGUAACUUAAAUAGGCAAAACCAUAGAAAGUACAAUGGUGAUUACCCAGGACCAAAGGGAGGGGAAUAUACAGUUAUUCUUUGAUGGGUAGAGUUUCUGUUUGGGAUGAUGACAAAGCUCUGGAAAUGGUUGGUGGUGGGUGAUGGUUGCACAGUAUUGUGAAUUGUACACUAAAAAACGGGUAACAUGGCAAAUUUGUGUCAUGUAGAUUUUACCACAAUAUAAAAAAAGUUGCAAAAGUCUUUUAGUAGUUUCAUAUUUAUUGUUAUUUCUAAAAAUAUUUUUCUCUUUCUUUUUUUUCCGUUUUGUUUUGUUUUUUGAGACAGGGUCUCCCUAUGUAGUUAAACGUGAAUGUGACUUCACUAUAUAGCCUAGGCUGGCCUCGAACUUGCUGCGAUCCUCCUGCCUCUGCCCCCACCCCCUACCCCCCACCUAGUGCUAGGAUUACAGGCAUGUACCUACAGACAAAGAGAAAAUGUUUUAAAAUACAUAUUAGUCAAUUUACAGGAUUAAUACUACUUACAAAUUUUUCUGUGUGUCUUUUAUAUACUACAGUUCUAAGGGCUGGGGAUAUAGUUCAGUGGUAGAGUGGCUGCUUUCCAAGUGCAAGGUCCAGAGUUCAUUUUCCAGCACUACAAAUACAUAAAUGUGUAUACACACGUGUAUACAUUUUGUACCUAUAUAUAGGGUAUUGAAAUGCUUGUUUUUCUUUUUCUUUCUUUUUUUUUUUUUUUUUUGGGUACUGGGGAUCGAACUCGGUCCUUGUGCUUGUGCAGUAGGCCGCGAAACCACUGAGCUAAAUCCCCAACCCAAAAUGCUUGUUUUUCAGUACUCUCCAUGAUCUCUUCCCAUGUGAGCCUAUUUAAUUGGUCAGUCUAAAUUCCUAGUGUUUCAAAGUGGACUUUGACAGACACAAAACAGGAGAGUGGUAAAAAUAACAGUAUCAGUGACAAAUAGCAGCACCAAUGUUUGUCCUUGACUUGCCACAGUGCUCACAAUGUGCUCAGCACUUGAUAAACAUCUUCAAUCGUCAUAGCUGCCCCUUAAAAAAAUACUAAUAUUAUCUCCAUUUUACAUAAGGGAAACUGAAAAUCCAAGACUUAACAUGACUUCCCCAAGGCCACACUGCUGGUGUUUAGUGAUGAGCUGUCAUUCUAAUCUUUAAACAGGAGAAAGGAAAUCCUACGAAUUAAAUGUGUUGUCAGAAGCUGGUUUAAAAAAAGAAAAGAUGGAAGCCAGGCACAGUGGCACAAGACUUAAUCCCAGCUAUUUGGGAGGCUGAAACAGGAAGACUGACUUCAAGUCCACCAUGGGGAACGUGAUGAGACACCUUUCUCAAAAAUAGAAAGACAAGGACUGGCAUAGUGUGGUGGAUUAUAAGGCUCUUCAGGAUCAAUUUUGGAACAAUAACAAAAAGUCAUGAUAAUAAAGCAGAAAGUAAAUGAUGAAUGACCUGAAAUAAGAGUCCCAUUUAUGUAUUUAUAUUCCAGAAGAAGAAACAACAUGAAGCAUUCACAAAGGUUGCAUCUAAUACUUUUCUUUUUAUAAAAUAUCUAUGAUCACUUUUCCCUGAUUGACUGUUAGAAAAAUACUAUUUUUUUUCAUGCAAUAUCAUUAAUCAAGUGGUAGGAGUUUGAAAUGUCCACACUGCACUCAGUUAUAUAGAAUACACUUUUUUUUUUUUCCUUUUAAAUUCUGGGGAACUCAGCUCAUCUGCUCAGAUGCUUCCGUUCCACUCAUUUUUGAGUGUAGGAAGUUAACUCCCUAUCAAACUGAUCUUUGCUCUGGCUCCAGGAGUUUCCAUUCUCUUUCUGUUUCUA